GGGCAUGUGAGUCUGGUGGUUUCGCCCUAAGGGUCCUGGGUAUCUGGUGCUCGGCACUUUGCCAGUCUCAGCCACUGGCUCAGCCUUUCCCCUGGAGAUAUAGAGGCUAUGGGGGCAGUGAUCUGGAAGGCCAGCUGUGUAGAAGUCCCUGAGGGUCAAAGUCUAGGUCUGGCAGUGUUGGAGAAUAAAACCCUUGGCUGGCCAAACACUGGGAGGCUGCACCUGCUGCUCUGCAAAUAUGCCUGCCCCUGCCUGAGCAGGAGGCCUCAGCCAGCCCUCAGCAGGAACCCAGCCAGGGCCACCCACCCCAGCCAUGCUAAGCCUCUGCCAGAGUGAGAGAGGCCCGCGUGGGCCAGGGGUGGCACAAGAGUCACUCUCAGGGUGGGCCAAAGGGUAUCACAGAGACAGCCCGGCCCUGGAGCCAUGCAGACCAGGAGCCGGGUGCCACCUCCAACACCAACUCACAGUGACUUUGGGCAAGUCCUUUUUUUGUCUUGAACCUCAGUGGGCCUAGUCUUGGCAACUGUGCAGUCGAGUGUCCAGCCCAGGGUCUAGACCAGAGCCAGUGGCAGCAAACAGCCCUGUUAUCAAGAAGCAACAUAACAAGAAGAAAGGAGAAAAAAGGUGCCCUAACUGUAAAAUAGGGCUGGCAACAGGACCCGGCCCUUGCCCUUGUGAAAACGAAGCCAGCUGAUACCCAAGGCCUGCCACAGAAUCAGCCCCCAUCCUGAGCCUGCAUCAGCCAAGAAGGAAAAAGGUUCCACAGCCAACUGCAACCAGUGCUUUGCCUACAGGAUAUUCCAUUUGGAGCCCCAGGCCCAUGUGGCCCUUCUGCCAGAGCCAGGGAGCCCACUGCAGCCCUGAGGGCACUCACAUGGACAUGUUCUGGAAGCCUGUGCCAUUCUCCCAGCUGUCGAAGACGGGGAUUGUGCAGGGUGAGAGAAUGGUCCUCCAUGGCCCAGGGACAUCACCCAGGCAGCACUACCCACUGGGUGCAUAGGUGCAUGCCGACAGGGAAACUGAGGCGAAGAAGGGGCAGGGAUCCCACAGCAGUCGCACCACAAGGCUGGUCUCCCGCCUCCUGGUCCCCACCCUCUGGAGAAGCACACCCAGUUCUAGUGG
rnacentral:lncRNA from 1 species